AAGGCUUUCGGGUCGUAAAGCACUGUUGUAUGGGAAGAACAGCUAGAAUAGGAAAUGAUUUUAGUUUGACGGUACCAUACCAGAAAGGGACGGCUAAAUACGUGCCAGCAGCCGCGGUAAUACGUAUGUCCCGAGCGUUAUCCGGGAUUUAUUGGGCGUAAAGCGAGCGCAGACGGUUUAUUAAGUCUGAUGUGAAAGCCCGGAGCUCAACUCCGGAAUGGCAUUGGAAACUGGUUAACUUGAGUGCAGUAGAGGUAAGUGGAACUCCAUGUGUAGCGGUGGAAUGCGUAGAUAUAUGGAAGAACACCAGUGGCGAAGGCGGCUUACUGGACUGCAACUGACGUUGAGGCUCGAAAGUGUGGGUAGCAAACAGGAUUAGAUACCCUGGUAGUCCACACCGUAAACGAUGAACACUAGGUGUUAGGAGGUUUCCGCCUCUUAGUGCCGAAGCUAACGCAUUAAGUGUUCCGCCUGGGGAGUACGACCGCAAGGUUGAAACUCAAAGGAAUUGACGGGGACCCGCACAAGCGGUGGAGCAUGUGGUUUAAUUCGAAGCAACGCGAAGAACCUUACCAGGUCUUGACAUCCUUUGAAGCUUUUAGAGAUAGAAGUGUUCUCUUCGGAGACAAAGUGACAGGUGGUGCAUGGUCGUCGUCAGCUCGUGUCGUGAGAUGUUGGGUUAAGUCCCGCAACGAGCGCAACCCUUAUUGUUAGUUGCCAGCAUUCAGAUGGGCACUCUAGCGAGACUGCCGGUGACAAACCGGAGGAAGGCGGGGACGACGUCAGAUCAUCAUGCCCCUUAUGACCUGGGCUACACACGUGCUACAAUGGCGUAUACAACGAGUUGCCAACCCGCGAGGGUGAGCUAAUCUCUUAAAGUACGUCUCAGUUCGGAUUGUAGUCUGCAACUCGACUACAUGAAGUCGGAAUCGCUAGUAAUCGCGGAUCAGCACGCCGCGGGUGAAUACGUUCCCGGGUCUUGUACACACCGCCCGUCACACCAUGGGAGUUUGUAAUGCCCAAAGCCGGUGGCCUAACCUUUUAGGAAGG
rnacentral:rRNA from 1 species